rnacentral:tRNA from 1 species
GAGGGGAAGUUCAACCAGCAAGAACUGCUAAUUCCUGCAUCUGAGCCUAGAACCUCAGUCCCCUCA